UGGGACUGAGAUACGGCCCAGACUCCUACGGGAGGCAGCAGUGAGGAAUUUUGCGCAAUGGGUGAAAUCCUGACGCAGCAACGCCGCGUGACCGAUUGAAGCUUUUAGGAGUGUAAAGGUCUGUCGCGAGGGAAGAAAAUAACCGAGAAGAAAAGUUCGGUAGUUGACGGUACCUCGCAAGCAAGCUCCGGCUAACUUCGUGCCAGCAGCCGCGGUAAUACGAGGGGAGCAAGCGUUGUCCGAAAUAACUGGGCGUAAAGGGUACGUAGGCUUUUUUUGUAUGUUUUCGGUGAAAGUCACAGGCUUAACUUGUGAAUUGCCGGAAAAACUGCAGAGAUUGAAUCCGAAAGGGGAAAGCAGAAUUCCUGGUGUAGCGGUGAAAUGCGUAGAUAUCAGGAGGAAUACCAGUGGCGAAGGCGGCUUUCUGGUUCGGAAUUGACGCUGAUGUACUAAAGCGUGGGUAGCAAACAGGAUUAGAUACCCUGGUAGUCCACGCCUUAAACUAUGGAUACUUGAUGUCGGGGCGUUCGGUCGACCCGGUGUCGUAGCUAACGUGUUAAGUAUCCCGCCUGGGGACUACGGUCGCAAGACUGAAACUCAAAGGAAUUGACGGGGGCCCGCACCAGCGGUGGAACAUGUGGUUUAAUUCGAUGCAACGCGAAGAACCUUACCUGGGCUUGACAUAUAUAUGGCGUAUGUAAGAAAUUAUGUAUUCUGUCUGUUUUUUCAGAUAGCAUAUAUACAGGUGAUGCAUGGCUGUCGUCAGCUCGUGUCGUGAGAUGUAGGGUUAAGUCCCUUAACGAGCGCAACCCUUGCUUUUAGUUGCCAUCAGGUAAUGCUGGGGACUCUAGAAGGACUGCCGAGGUUAACUCGGAGGAAGGUGGGGAUGACGUCAAGUCAGUAUGUCCCUUAUGUCCAGGGCUACACACGUGUUACAAUGGUCGGUACAGAGUGACGCUAAUCCACGAGGUGGCGCCAAUCACUUAAAGCCGAUCCCAGUUCGGAUUGGAGUCUGCAAUUCGACUCCAUGAAGUUGGAAUCGCUAGUAAUCGCAGAACAGCAUGCUGCGGUGAUACGUUCCCGGGCCUUGUACACACCGCCCGUCACGCCAUGGAAGUUGGGAGUACCCGAAGUUGCUGUCCAUACGUU
rnacentral:rRNA from 1 species